rnacentral:lncRNA from 1 species
UUCUUAUCAUGUUUGUCCUCCAGUAGACAGGUAAGAUUGAAUUAUAUUAUUCUUGUUGCCAAAUGUAUGUCAAGCAGGCAAGCACAAACUGAAGUACCGAUGAGCUGACAAAUAAUUAGUUGCAUGUAAAACUUUUCUGUUCUGAAACUCAUUUUGUUGCCUUUCCAGAUUGCUUGCUUAGGAACUAAUUCCAAGGAUUACUUUGAUCGGCAUGGAGAUUUAAAGAGCAUCAGGAGACUGAAGUUAACCUUAUUUCUCUGCAAUAUAUCAGAUUGGAUAUUGGCACAUAUAUGAAUCAGGUUGGGUUGUCUGAACCUAGAAUCCCCUGCUUCUCAAACUCAAGGUAUACAUUAUUGCAUAUAGGAACAACAAUUGUCAAGUGUGGCAGUCAUAUUUUGAUAAUCUGUAUUUUUUGGAUGAUUGCAUUAUGAUGAAGUCUUCCACAUAGUAGUGAUGAAAUAUCUUCAGAUGUGAGAAUUUCAUGUUUAAAAGCUUCAAGGUUUAGGAUUUUCUCUUUAAAAUAAAUCUUGGGCCUCAAAUUCAUAAUAUUGGUAAAGACGUAAAGUUCAGGGUAUGCAGACUCAAAAUUCUUGCAUUAGAAAUUU